CAGCAGCAGCACUGUACGAUGCCAGCUGUUGUUACAUAUGUUGCCAUUGGGCAGACGAAUUUUGUCUCCUGCUACUUCAUUGGCCAGUUGUGCUUGUGCGCUUGUUUACUCACAAAAAUUCAAAUGGAUUAUCGACUAUUUGUUUGAGGUUAUGUUAUUAUAAACAGUGAACAAAUCAAAACUUGAACAGUCACGACGUAUUUCUGUAUAUUUUUUCAUCAAUCAUUAUAUUAUUGUGAAUUGUCCAAUCACAAUAAAUUGAGUUAUUAGCCACAAUUAUCGUGCUAAGGUUAUAUACUACCCUCGUCUGAUAAAAGAAGCCUUGAAAAGGAUAAGAGAAAGAAGAAAGGCCUAUAACAGUCAAUUAGAAUCUUUUCAUCUUUAACAUCAUUAAAUCAACAAUGGUUCCAAACGGCGAGGAUUUGGUUGCAGAGAGUUGGUAUGAUUCUUCAUCAGAAGAUUCUGACCAGGAACCAGAUGCUGAUGAGCAGUUGCUUGCAUUGAAGCGACAGAAACUCAUGCUCCAAAUUGAACUGAUGGAGAGGGAAAAGCACCUCAUGAGCCUCAAGAUCUUUCAGAUGGAAUUAGCUUUAAACCGCCCUCCUUCCAAGUAUACGAGCAACUUAUUCGGUGAAACAGUGAACUCAGGCGUGGACCAAACGAAACCAAACGUGGACGAAACAAAACCAAACGUGGACGGAGACACAUUGCCAAACUAACUCACUACCUACUAGUCUUUUCUUUUGUUUUUCAAUCAAUCGAUCUUUUUAUUAUUUUCAUGAGCAUUUAGCAAGAAUACAUAACAAUAUCGCAAUACACGUAAGGUAUGUCCACACAUGCCGAGACGAAACUCGAACAGCGCAGCGAAAAUUCAUUUUCAUGAAUAGUAAUAAUUGAUAGGAACUGAUAAAUAAUUUUUAAUUCAAAUAGAAUAACUUCUAAAAAAUCAAUGAAUGGAUAAAAUCUAAUGUUAAAAUAUUGUUGACCAUAAACUGAGAACUAUCAUAAUUCAUCCAAUUUAAUUAUUCCUAUAAAAAUUAUAAACAUCUUUUUAUCUUUUACUGAUAAUUAAUUUGAUUAACUAAUCAUAAAUUGACUGUAAUAGAUUCCAUACUCUUAUUUAUUUUAAUGAAUUCUCCAGUACCGUAUAUUUAAAGUCACGAAGAGGAUACACUAUUGAAAUUAAAACAUUUAGCCUUUUUAGCGAAUAAUCUAGGUGAAUAAUAUUAAUUUUUCGUGAUUAAUUUAUACCUUUACCUAAAAUACUUUGUUACCAGAUAUUUAUAAUUAAUAUUAGCCUGUUCUAUUUAAAUUCUUCAUUUUUGGUUUCAAUUCAUUUAGUAGGCUACCUAACGAUUCGAAGUGGAUAAUCACUCAUAUAUAAUAUAUAUAUUAAUUCACAAUACGUAUGUUUAGAGAGUCCAAAUCAAAUAAUAUUCUAAUCAUGUUGAAAAAAAUAAUUGGAACAUAAUAUACGUCUCGAAAAGCUGUUCUCAGAUAUCACAAUGACACUUACAAAAACUGCUUGUUUGAAGUGGAAAUUACUAAAAUAAAUUUACAGAACAGAUGUUCCAUUAAUGAAAUUGGAAAAUAUCUACCAGUUGACUGCAUUUCAUUGUUUAAAUUCUCUGUGCGGUUCGCUGCACGGCGCGAUGCGCAGCGGAUUUCACGGUUUGCUGCGCUGUUCGAGGUUCGGUAAGGCAUGUGUGGACAUACCUUCUAUGUUAACAUUAUUCAAUAAACUGACUGACGAGAUAUUUUUAUAUCAUAAAGAUGUGCGUAUUUAAAAACAAAAAUUUAUUGAUUCCUUAUUAUUUUAUGAAUAUUCACUUGAUUAGAUAAUUUUUUAGUAGUCUACCUACUCGAGCAAAAAUCUUUGGUUCAGUAGGAAAUUGAAAAGAAAAUGGAGAAAAAUCUAAAUUGAAUCACAAAUCGGAUAGUGAAUGGCCAGUUUUAGCGCUGGAGAUGUCCAACUAUAAAGGUGCGUACAGAUAGAUAUACGCGCCGCG